UUUGGUAGUAAUGGCAAAGAGGAUACACCUGUUCCCAUCCCGAACACAGUAGUUAAGCUCUUUAGCGCCGAUGGUAGUUGGGGGUUUCCCCCUGUGAGAGUAGGACAUUGCCAAGC
rfam:Brochothrix campestris FSL F6-1037 c33, whole genome shotgun sequence.